AGGGGCGUCUUUGCAGCCGGGGCAAAGUUGGGCGUGCGUGUGAUCUUUCUCCUUAGCCCCAGCUGGGUUUUCCCAAAUCCAGAAUGGGUGAUCCGGGCUCGGACGGAAGAUUCUCUCCGCCUUCCACAUUCCCAAGUUUCUUUGGUUUGGGAAGAGAAAGAUUUGGUGAAGGGGCUUAUUUGCGCUCCUGUGAAGAAGGCGGGCGCCCCUUCACCUCGUUGGGUGUCCCAAGCGCACCCAACGAGGUUUACAUUAGAAUAGGAUUGCCCUAGUCUAAAAUAACCUUUAUAGCGCAAGGAAGUCCCGGGGAGCGCAGCAAACCGCGCUCCGGCUCCGGGUCACAAAAGUAGAUCUCUCGGCGAUCGUUUCUGGGUGGAGAGAAGUUUUCAACGAGAGGAUUCCCAUAGGAAAUCCAAAGUGCCCCACGGAGAUAAAGCAGAAUGGAGAGUUUUCUCUCUUCCUCGUGAGCAUCGGGGAGCGACUGGUCUUCUCUCCAAGAUCGCCCCAGCCUUCCCCCGCAUGUAUCUUUUGCAGCUGUAAGUGUCGUCAUUUGGUCUGGCAUGAAAACCGUGUGCUUUCAAUGGCGUCCUUGGAGUGGCCCUGACAUUCCUUGGCAAGUUUGAGCUCUCAUUGUCUUCUGAAGGACCACAGCAAGCUUAGACGUCAUGAACGUUGAGGCUCUGUUUAAGUAAAAGAUGCCCACCUCGGAAGCCAAAUACAUGGUUCCCCUCACCGAGUCCCCGUAUUUACCUGCAUACAGUCAUGACUCAUUCCCAGAAUAAAGGACAAAAAACGAAGCAAUCGAAGCCAAACGUAUAAUUAAAGAAAGCAGGAGUGGCUUUUGCCUUAGCAAGGACAAUCCAGCACUGGGGAGCAAAUGGUAUUGCAUCUCAAGAAUAAUAUGAAGCAAUCCUGUGGUGUGAGAACACCAACGUUAAGCCAGAGGAACAGGUAUUGCAUUAUGCGAUUCAGCAGUCAACUCUUGAUGAAGGCCCAAACCUCAAGAGAUUUUAAAAAGAGGAAGGAUUAAAAAAUUGGGUAUAUAGCCAUGCAUUCCUUUUGCUCUCUUUUCAAAUCGAUCUUAUUGGUUGGAAUACUUUUUUUAACCAAAGGAAUUGAGGCUUUACUUAUAAAGCAUGAAAUGAUCUUAAAUUCAUGUGUCUCGUUCUCCUGGUUAUAUAGGUUAAAAACAAAAUAAAAGCAUUAGAUAAUUGUAUUUUUAAAAGGUGAGGAAUGGGUAUAUAGCAGUGGUGGGUUUCUACCGGUUCAUCACAGACGCAUGCGUAGAAGCGCCCCGUGCGCGCGCUCACAGUUCCGAACUGGUAGCGAAGGUAAGUGGAACCCACUACUGGUAUAUAGUGAUCCAAAUCAGGCUUAAAUUUUGAUAUGUUUUGAUCUUUGUAGAAUUUAGUAUUAUUCAUUCUCACUUUGUAGCAACAUUAAUUCCAUUGAUUAACAAAAUUAUAUUAUUUCUCCACAAUCAUGCAGAAAGGGCCAGUUUGGCCUAAUAGUUAAGGCAUCAGACUAGAAAGCAGGAGACUGUGAGUUCAAGUCCCGCUUUAGCCAUGAAAGCCACUGGGUGACCUCUGGUCGGUCACAUUCUCUCAGUCCAAUCCACCUCCGCAGGGUUAUUGUGUGGGGAAAGUAGAAGGAGGAAGGUGUGUUGUGUAUGUUCACUACCUUAUUUGCAAAAAAUAUAUAAUAAAGGCAGUCUAUAAAUAAAUACAAGAGCUGCAGAGACCUCAA